UACGAAGGGGGCUAGCGUUGUUCGGAAUCACUGGGCGUAAAGGGCGCGUAGGCGGCCGCUCAAGUCGGGGGUGAAAGCCUGUGGCUUAACCACAGAAUUGCCUUCGAUACUGUUUGGCUUGAGACCGGAAGAGGUGAGUGGAACUGCGAGUGUAGAGGUGAAAUUCGUAGAUAUUCGCAAGAACACCAGUGGCGAAGGCGGCUCACUGGUCCGGUUCUGAC
rnacentral:rRNA from 1 species